rnacentral:rRNA from 1 species
GAUGAACGCUGGCGGCGUGCCUAAUACAUGCAAGUCGAGCGAACCGACGAGGAGCUUGCUCCUCUGACGUUAGCGGCGGACGGGUGAGUAACACGUGGAUAACCUACCUAUAAGACUGGGAUAACUUCGGGAAACCGGAGCUAAUACCGGAUAAUAUAUUGAACCGCAUGGUUCAAUAGUGAAAGACGGUUUUGCUGUCACUUAUAGAUGGAUCCGCGCCGCAUUAGCUAGUUGGUAAGGUAACGGCUUACCAAGGCAACGAUGCGUAGCCGACCUGAGAGGGUGAUCGGCCACACUGGAACUGAGACACGGUCCAGACUCCAACGGGAGGCAGCAGUAGGGAAUCUUCCGCAAUGGGCGAAAGCCUGACGGAGCAACGCCGCGUGAGUGAUGAAGGUCUUCGGAUCGUAAAACUCUGUUAUUAGGGAAGAACAAAUGUGUAAGUAACUAUGCACGUCUUGACGGUACCUAAUCAGAAAGCCACGGCUAACUACGUG